AUUCCAGCUCCAAUAGCGUAUAUUUAAGUUGUUGCAGUUAAAAAGCUCGUAGUUGGAUUUUGGAGUUUGACAAGUGGUCUGCCUAAGGUGUGUACUGCUUGUCGGCUCUUCUUUUCUGGGGACCACAUUGCUCUUUACUGAGGAGUGUUGGGAAUCAGAUCUUUUACUUUGAAAAAAUUAGAGUGUUCAAAGCAGGCCCACGCAUUGAAUACAUUAGCAUGGAAUAAUGGAAUGGGACUUUGGUCUUAUUUUGUUGGUUUCUAAGGCCGAGGUUAUGAUUAAUAGGGAUAGUUGGGGGCGUUUAUAUUCCAUUGUCAGAGGUGAAAUUCUUGGAUUUAUGGAAGGUAAACUACUGCGAAAGCAUUCGCCAAGGAUGUUUUCAUCA
rnacentral:rRNA from 1 species